GAGUCUUUGACUGCGACUUUGAUGACCACCCGCGUGCUUUGAUGAAGGAACUUAUUAAUUUUGGGUAAUUCUUUGCUACGUGGAUAGGAGGGAGUUUUGAGUUUUUAUUGGUGGUUUUGAAGUAUGGUCUACUUGAAGCAGUGGCGUUUCUUCAAAUUUCUGCGAAGAAUCUUUAGCUGAUUGCCUACGAAGGAUGUUCAAAUCCACCAUAUUGUCUGGAAAGAUUUCCGUGGAACACUUAUUUGGAAGCAAACUACGAAUUACCAUUGAGAGAAAUAUCUGAAGUCUUAUUUAUUGAAGGAUUUUUCCAGCUACGAAAAUAGGAUUAGUUUCUUACCAGAUUGUUGACUGGGAAAGUAAGAAUGCAAAGAAGACUGUUACUCAAGACCUAAUAUUCCAGUUUUUGAGGUGAAAAUGGAGCCUGGCGUUACUGAUCUACUUCCCUAAGCCAUAAACUGCCCUGCUUUAUUGCUAAGGUGCAAUUAGUUAUGACACUUCAAUAUUUAGUAUUAAUUGCAAAAUUUCAAUGUUCUUACCUUCAGCAAUAAUAGCAAUACACAGCAAUAGCAAUAACUUUAUCAUUGCUUGUUUUAGUAGAUGCCGAAUUAAAU